CUCUCUUUGUGUAUUAACCUCUCUUUUGUUUGAGCACCUCCAUAGCACUUUCAUCCCCUAGGGUGGUGCCCAACACAUUACUGGGGGCACUCUGCCUGCAGCAACCGGUGUCAACGGAAGGCCAAGAAGAACAUUAAAGCCCUCUGCCACCUGAGCCAUGGACUGUUCACUCGGUGACCGUCCGACAGACUGAGAGUACAGGUGCUAAGACCGAGAGACUGAAAAUCAACUUCUAUUACCAGGCCAUCAGACUAUUGAAUAGCCAUCACUAGCAGUCUACGAGGACAGACGUCCCAUCUGAAAACGGAAGAAUUACCACUAACUUUUCUUACACGAUAGCGGUGCGUGGGAAAAAUCACUGCGGAAGAAAAGCCAGAGAAAAGCCAUAUUACAACAGUAUGUGUUGUGAUAAUUGCAUAGUUUGCUCCAUAACCUGUUAGUUCAUAUGAAUUGUAACCAUGAUAAAUAAUGUAGGCUUAAGGCCAAGACAAUAAGACACAUGACCUAACUGUUUAUUACAUGUAAUAUGAUUUGGGGACUUUACUGGACAGAGGUUGAUCUCUGGGUUUGUGAUGAAAUUAGAUGUGGCGGAAUUUAUUCUUGGACGACGCUGGGCCAAUUGUGCUUCGCCUCAUGGGUCUACUGGUCGCAGCCGGCACGGGUCUCAAACCAACAUCUGUAGCAAUGCAGUUUGCACUGCGUUGCAGUGUCUUAGACUGCUCGGCCACUCUGGAGCAGCCAGUGUAAUCAUCUGCCAGAGAGUAGACCCAAUCAGCCCGAGCCCCAAGUAAUACAUUUGGGCCAGAUAACUCGCACUGGAAACGGCCUGAGCUCAAUCCCCCAUCCUAGCCAUAAGUAAUACCGCCGACGAUUCGGGCCACAUGGUGUCAGCCGAGUGCCCUGACUCUCAGCCGGAAUCGGCCCAGAUCCACAUGUGCUAGCUGGGUUGUGCCUGUAUCCACAUUCAAUCUAGUAUCCCUAGAGAAUUGAUGUUGAUCAUCUGUUGUCUGCUUGAUUUACAACAGGGUCUCAUUCGUUUUAUUAGAGAAAGUAUUAAGGUAAUAUGUUCACGUUUUUGUACCUCGGAUUGGACACCUAGUCUACUGUGCAUAAUUGUGUAGGAUAGACUAUUGUGCAACACCCAACACUAUUCCUAUGAAUUAUUCUGGAUAUAAUGACAACAGAUUACAUAGCCUAGUGGGCUUAUUCACAAAAUUAUCUGGUAAUGAAAUAAAAUGAUAUAUACAAGGGGCUUGAAGUAGCCUCCAUGAAUAUGGACCUCAGAAAUGAAAUGACUGGAAUAGGCCUACCUUGAAAAUCAGACAUUUCCUCAAUUUGGUGCUUGAAGCACCGUUGUAAUUAUUGUUAACAAUUUCUAAGUCUUACUGCUUCCUUAUAUAAUUUUUCUGUGAUUUAAUUUUGUUUUUGUUUGUUUCCUGCGCUUCAAUUGAAGAGUGUUACACUACUCUGUUGCGGUAAAGCUAUCUGCAGUUAUUAUGAGGAUGACAACAUUUGUUGGUCAUCUUGGCUUUCAAAUCUUUCCAAUA